CUUCACUCUAUCGUUUAACAUGAUACGAUUAAGCUUCUUGUAAGUAAUUAAUAUGGACUUUUGUAUGUUUUCUUUUGGUAAACAAAUAUUAAUAACCAUUGUUUUUUGUCCAAUAUGUAGAUUAUCGUAUUCAUUUAGCAUUCAGUGCCAACGUUGGCCAUCAUUAUUGUCCAAUAACGUGUUAGGUUAGUUAUGUACAUACAGGUUUGUAGUAUCUUAACAUGCAGUGUUCCUGACAUCGAUAUGGUAGAUUGGAAACAAGUACGGUAAUUUAAUGAUACAUUGAAGAUUCCACCCAAUGGCAUUAGAUGUAAUAUAUUCAUACAAUCUUGUAAAUCAGCACCCUUGUUUUAAUAGGAAUAAAUACAUUUCUGUUAAUCCAGAACCUCCCAAUCUAUUAGGCCACAUACGAUGUAAUAGAGUAUAUCCAUAUUAUAUUUUCACUCUACUAUUUGGUUUCAUCCAGUAAUUAAGAUGGCACCAUUCA